CCUACGGGAGGCAGCAGUGGGGAAUAUUGGACAAUGGACGAAACCCUGAAGCAGCGACGCCGCGUGAGCGAUGAAGUAUUUCGGAAUGUAAAGCUCUAUUUGUAGGGAAGAAAAUGACGGUACGUGACUAAGAAGCCCCGGCUAAUUACGUGCCAGCAGCCGCGGUAAUACGUAGGGGGCAAGCGUUAUCCGGAUUUACUGGGGGUAAAGGGAGCGUAGUCGGUGGUGCAAGCUAGAUGUGAAAGGCCGGGGCUCAACCCCGGGACGGCAUUUGCAACUGUGCAGCUAGAGUGUAGGAGAGGCAGGCGGAAUGCCUAGUGUAGCGGUGAAAUGCGUAGAUAUUAGGAGGAACACCAGUGGCGAAGGCGGCCUACUGGACGAUAACUGACGUUGAGGCUCGAAAGCGUGGGGAGCAAACAGGAUUAGAUACCCGUGUAGUC
rnacentral:rRNA from 1 species